GUGGAUUUUGUAAAAUCCAAGAUGGCCACGAUGGCGGACGAAAUUGAUAUUAAAGAGGAUGAAAUCGAUAUCAAAGAUGAAAUUGAACCUCUUAUCAACAGUUCAAGUGUGUCAAUCAAAAGUGGUUUUAAAGACGAGUUUAGUGACGAACUUGAAGCUGAAACUGAAGAUCAAGACACAGAAAACGACGACUUAAACGAUGCAGAAGAGAUCGUCACGGACGGUGUCAGUCUUGAUGACGAGCAGCAGUUCGUCGACGAUUCUGAGUUGGUUGGUGAUGCUGAUUUGUUGGACGAAACACCCGACAAUGAUCCUCUGAAUAUGACCGAAGAGUUAGAAGAAGAUGGACUUGAAGAUGACGAGGUUCUGGCAGAUGAUCAAGAUGUCGAUAAUACUCUUGAGGAUGAAAUCCUCGAGAACGAAGAGGGAGACGAGGACGAAUCUAUGAACGCAGAGGACGAACCAAUGACCACAGAGGACGAGCAGAAAAAUGGAACGAAGCGUAAAUCCCCUGAUGAUAAAUCGGAUGUUCCAGUCAGAAAAUCCUCCAGAAUUCGACUACGGACAGAUCUCAGGAAAGACCAGGAAGAAAAUGGCCAAGUGAAAAGCGUUCAUGAUACACAGAGAGAGAAAACUAAGAUGCUGCAAAAGCCCACAGAACGUCCAACACGUGUGAACGAAGACGAUGAACAGUCAGAAGGUGAAAAGGUAUCCGACACUGAGAAGGAAGAGGAACCAACUGUAGAGGAUACAUCAAAGGGUGAUAGAUCUCGACAGCCGGGUGUGGGAGCUUCAAGGAAAAUAGAUCAGGACUUUCUUCUUCCUUUCAGAUUGGGUUGGACCCGUGAAGCUUCUGUACGUCAAGUAAAGGCUGGCCCUCCUCAAAUAGAUAUUUUUUACUGGCCACCGAAGGACGGAGAGGACCAUGGAGCAAGGAAUAGGGAGGCCCGGAGAAAGCGACGAUCUAAAGUAGAUCAGGAGAGAUAUUUUGAGGAGUUCCCACAUCCUCAGCUCUCUGUAAAUAACUUUACUUAUGUUCGCAGACCUUUGGAGCUUAAUAAUGAAGCAUAUGAGAUUGUUAGGUAUUCUAAACCGAGUCUAGAGACACGUAGUGACAAGAGAACCCGGGCUGGAAAGAUUGCGAGCUACAAGGAAGUUGCUGAACACGAGGGCCUCUUGUCUUCCAACAGUUCAGAGGACGAGGCUGAGGAGGUUCAAGACAUUACUGAGUUCGACCAGGGGCUCCCACUCUCAUUACAGGUUCUAAGUCGAGUAACCCCGCUCAGAGAGGAAUCCAAGAAGAGACAUAAGUACCCUAAUCGUGACCGUUGUGUGACCCCCCACCUGGCUGAAGAGAUAUCUUGGACUCUACUUGACGAUGAUCCAUUAGGUAUCUACCAUGAGCUUGGAGGGCGGAGUAGUCCUUCAACACCUCCGCCCCUUCGUGCUCUCCGUCUUACUUCACAUCCUACAAUUGCCGCAAUAAAUCAGAAACUAGAUGAAAUUAGAACUGGUUUGGUGGAUCCAAUGCUCCGUAUAACAGAGGGGAACAAGGAUCUCAACAUGAAGGAUAAUUUGGCAUCUCAUGAUGCUGCAAUCAAGAAGUACAAGGACUUUGCACCAGUGGUUCCCUUCCAACACAGAAGCCUGCAUGGCCGACCAGUACAACGAGGAAUAGUUGGAAGAGUUGGAGCUGCUGGUUUCCGUCCCCCACCAUCAGCCGCCAGGAGUUCAAAUACUAACUCAGUCGGCUUCGUCAAGGUUCGACUGCCCAUGUUAUCCACUAACGGUAAACGACCUGUUGUCGAGCUUGUUAUGCUCAAUAACGGCAAAUAUCAACCCAUCAAGUUCACCAAUAACAGACAGGUUACUGAAUCUAUACCAAAGCGAUUGUUUGAUCAAGCAAACUCAAUGCGGAAAACAUUGUAUCAAAGAUCUGUCCAGGUUCCUAAGAUUGGUGCCAAGCAAGUAUUUAUCGCAAUUAACCCCAGUCCUGGAUCUCGACCCUUCCAGAGCAACACCAACGGUUCCCCGGCAAACCGGCAACCGCAGAAACCACAGCAACAGAAACCACAACAACCGCAACAACAGACCAGUAAACCACCCAGUUCUUCAGAUCAGGUGUCCAUUUUGGUUCGGCCUGCACAGGGCGGAAACGCAGUUCUUUUGAACGUUCCACGGCAUGUUGCGCUCAAGGUGAAAAUCGGAACAACUCUCUCAUUUUCUGCCAGCAACGAACAGAAGUACACAGUCAUUGACAACAAGAUGCAUCCACCGGUUGGUAAGGGUCGGCCGCCACCCCCUAGACAAGAACGAAAACCGGCAAUACACACCAUACCGUCACUGCCCUCAGGCGUCAGUAUCCGACCGAUCAAUCGGACGCAGAAUCAUCAGCAACAAAAUCGGCCGCAGGUCGGAAGAACUACUCCGGCCGGCCGUGCACAGCAGUUUGUUCGGCAGAUACAGGCUCAGGUUCGACACAGCUCCCCCCGGCCUAUUCAGACAGCUGGCAGGAAAAGUGGUCCCUCUGUCUCGAAUUUCAGCCCCUGUUCUCCAUUUUGUCCCGGAGUAACAGGGAUACCGGAGUUAGAAUGCUCAUCCUGUCAUUCUCUCUUCCACCCUGUGUGUGUAGGGAUUCCCCAUAAUAGGAUUCAUCUUCUAGCAAGCCUGUUCAGGUGUAAGGCUUGUGGUUCUAACGGUCCUGGGAGUGGAGGAGGAGGAGGAGGAAGUAAAUCUAUUCAAGUUAUAGAUCUAGACUAAACUACCUGGAUAAAGAAGUACUCGUUUCUAUUCCUACCUUCGUAACCUUUCUUAUUCCCACUUGCAAGUAGGAUUUCACUCUCCUGUUAAUGUCCUCCAUUAAAUACCUGGAGUACCCUUUCCUAUUCCCACUUCACAUUAAUACCUGGAGUACACUUUCCUAUUCCCACUUCACUUUAAUACCUGAAGUACACUUUCCUAUUCCCACUUCACUUUAAUACCUGGAGUACACUUUCCUAUUCACACUUCACUGUAAUACCUGGAGUACACUUUCCUAUUCACACUUCACUUUAAUACCUGGAGUACACUUUCCUAUUCACACUUCACUUUAAUACCUGGAGUACACUUUCCUAUUCCCACUUCACUUUAAUACAUGGAGUACACUUUCCUAUUCCCACUUCACUUUAAUACAUGGAGUACACUUUCCUAUUCCCACUUCACUUAAAUACAUGGAGUACACUUUCCUAUUCCAACUUCACUUGAUGUAGGAGAACUGUUUCUCAAUUCUAAGUUUGGGUAAACUAAACUUCUCAAAUCCAAAUGGUAAUCAGAAGUAAUCACUGAUAUCUCAAAACUCAAGACCCCUCUAAGGAAAAUGUGCCUACUCAAGAUUUUUACCUGAAGGCCUAUGAAAACUAUGCACCUAUAAACUAUCAGCCUGUAUCAAGGGUGUGAAUUUAAACUACCCCCGCUCAGCGAACUAUAACUACAGUUUAAAAGAACAUGGAAUAUCAGAUUCAUUAUUCCUUCUGUAACAACUGUAAAGGGAAAAGAUGUCUCAUUUCUGUACAUAAUAUUUCUGUAUAUUUGUCCAUUGUACAUAUUUAAUCUAAUUUUCACAUUUUUACAUUUUACGACUGAACCCCCUCAGUAUUUUUUAUAUAUCUCGUUUUCGAUCGUUAAAAAUCCCAUGUACAAUCCUGAUCAAAUGGCGCAUUUCUAUGUACAAAUAUAUUUAUUUCGCGCCAUAAUUUCGAGACAUUCUGCAAACCCACGGAGCAUUAAAAAUUGUGUUAAAUUAAUUGCAUUUCCUCUAUUUUUAUAUCCGACUUUUGUAUAAGCAUGGUUCAAAAUCAUUUAUGUAUUAUUCAUAUAUCAUAAAUACAGUAGCUACACACACCGUUA
rnacentral:misc_RNA from 1 species